AGCCCUGGCCCCUAAAAGUCUCUCAAAUACAUCAAUCCAUUUUUUUUUCUUUUUCUUUUUUUAAAAAGAGAGUGCGAGUGAAAAAUGUGACUGUGGAAAUCAGAGGUAAAGACUGAAUGGGAAGGAGGAUGGGAAGAGGUGACAAACAAAUGUAUCAAGACUAUUUUGGACUACUUUGGAGAUGGAGAGGUGUCUAGAUGCAGUCAAUCAAAUGCCAGAGGCAAGAUGCUCAUAUUCCGUGUUCCAACUACCUGAAAAGGCUUGUUCUUCUGUUCCGUCUCAUUGUCUCCCGCUGUGGCCAUCAGCCUCCGGCCCAAGCGAUCGGUGGCCACAAAC